GACCCUAAAAAGUCCCCUAGACACAAAGGUUUGGUCCUAGCCUUGAAAUCAUUUGUUACUCAAUAUACACAUGCAAGUCUCCGCACCCCUGUGAAAACGCCCUUAUAAUCCCCAAUAGGGAAUAGGAGCUGGUAUCAGGCACGAAAAAUCUGCCCAAAACACCUAGCUUUGCCACACCCACAAGGGAAUUCAGCAGUGAUUAACAUUGAAUAUAAGCGCCAGCUUGAUUCAGUCAGAGUAAAGAGAGCCGGCAAAUCUGGUGCCAGCCGCCGCGGUUACACCACGUGGCUCAAAUUGAUUCUUAUCGGCGUAAAGCGUGAUUAAAGUUAUUAUCAAACUUAGAAUUAAACUGAAAUUAAGCUGUGACACGCUUGUUACUUAAGAAACCCAAAAACGAAAGUUAUUCUAAUUAACACAACUUGAACUCACGACAGCUGAAAUACAAACUGGGAUUAGAUACCCCACUAUGUUCAGCCGUAAACUUUAAAUUACAAUCCCAAUCGCCAGGGAACUACGAGCUAAGCUUAAAACCCAAAGGACUUGACGGUACCCCAUAUCCCCCUAGAGGAGCCUGUCCUAUAAUCGAUAACCCACGUUUAACCUCACCAUUUCUAGCUACUCAGCCUGUAUACCUCCGUCGCCAGCUUACCUCGUGAGCGCUAACCUUAGUGAGCACAAUGUUCUUCAACUAUACGUCAGGUCAAGGUGCAGCAAAUGUAAUGGAAAGAGAUGGGCUACACUUUCUAAAUUAGAAGAAACGAAAAACUACUUAUGAAAUCUAGUUAGAAGGCGGAUUUAGUAGUAAAAUGAGGUCAUUAUACUCAAUUUAACCCGGCACUGGGGUGUGUACACACCGCCCGUCACCCUCUUCAAAGCU
rnacentral:ncRNA from 1 species